CCAAAUUCAUGGUGAAAUUUCAUCCAAACAUGAUUUGCCAAUAAUAUUUGAGAACUUGAGGUCAAAUGCUAGUUUAAUACUUCAUCUCCAAAUGAAGUUAAAGAUAACAGUGAAGCUUCAAACAAAAGAAAAGUCAUAGAAACUACGAUUGCUUGUUGUAAGCAUUUUGAGAAAUUAAUUGAUGAAGAUGGAGCUACUAAAACAAAAUGUAAUUAUUGUGGAAAAACU
rnacentral:lncRNA from 1 species